GGAUGAACGCUGGCGGCGUGCCUAAUACAUGCAAGUCGAGCGAACGGCCGAGAAGCUUGCUUCUCUGAUGUUAGCGGCGGCCGGGUGAGUAACACGUGGAUAACCUACCUAUAAGACUGGGAUAACUUCGGGAAACCGGAGCUAAUACCGGAUAAUAUUUUGAACCGCAUGGUUCAAAAGUGAAAGACGGUCUUGCUGUCACUUAUAGAUGGAUCCGCGCUGCAUUAGCUAGUUGGUAAGGUAACGGCUUACCAAGGCAACGAUGCAUAGCCGACCUGAGAGGGUGAUCGGCCACACUGGAACUGAGACACGGUCCAGACUCCUACGGGAGGCAGCAGUAGGGAAUCUUCCGCAAUGGGCGAAAGCCUGACGGAGCAACGCCGCGUGAGUGAUGAAGGUCUUCGGAUCGUAAAACUCUGUUAUUAGGGAAGAACAUAUGUGUAAGUAACUGUGCACAUCUUGACGGUACCUAAUCAGAAAGCCACGGCUAGCUACGUG
rnacentral:rRNA from 1 species